GACGAACGCUGGCGGCGUGCCUAAUACAUGCAAGUCGAACGCACCCUUCGGGGUGAGUGGCGCACGGCUGAGUAACACGUGGGAAUCUGUCGUCGAGUGGGGGAUAACGCACCGAAAGGUACGCUAAUCCCGCAUACGUUCCGCAAGGAAGAAAGGCGCAAGUCGCUGGACGAGGAGCCUGCGGCCCAUCAGGUAGUUGGAGGGGUAACGGCCCACCAAGCCAAUGACGGGUAGCUGGUCUGUGAGGACA
rnacentral:rRNA from 1 species